GUGAAUUAAGGUUUCAAUUGGGAGUAAAGCUGCUGAUCAGGUGUAAUUAAGUAAGGAGAUUAGCUUGACUCAUCCAGGUGGACCCAAUGUAAUUACAAGGAUACUUAAAUGUAGAAGGAGGCAGAAGGAUUAGUAUCAAAGUGAGGUGCUUCCUGAGAGGUUUGAGUUGCCAUUUCUGGCUUUCAGGUUGGGGGGAAAAAGCCGCAAGGCAAACACAAUGGGCAGCAAGGCAGCAGAUUCUCCUCAGAACCUCCAAAAGAAGUGCCUUAAUACUUCUGACUUCAGAAAGAGAUGCACAAUCUUCGGAAAAGAGUUUGUUUGCCACCUAUUUGAAGUGCCAACUUCUAUUCUUCUGAGGAUUUUAUUUUCCUAAUGGUAGUUAUCUAAUUUUAUCAAAUGCCUUCUCUAUUCUAAUGAAAUAAUUAUACAGCUUUUCUCCUUUAUUUUGCAGAAGUGGUGAAUUCCAUUGAUUUAUUUUAAUGCCAAGCCCCCUUUGGAUUACUGGUAUUAACUCCAUUUAUUUAAUAUUAUCCUUUUAUA
rnacentral:lncRNA from 1 species